rnacentral:rRNA from 1 species
AUCGAACGCUGGCGGCAGGCCUAACACAUGCAAGUCGAACGAGUGGCGGACGGGUGAGUAAUGUCUGGGAAACUGCCUGAUGUAGGGGGAUAACUACUGGAACCGGUAGCUAAUACCGCAUACCAUCGGAUGUGCCCAGAUGGGAUUAGCUAGUUGGUGGGGUAACGGCUCACCUAGGCGACGAUGCCUAGCUGGUCUGAGAGGAUGACCGGCCACACUGGAACUGAGACACGGUCCAGACUCCUACGGGAGGCAGCAGUGGGGAAUCUUGCGCAAUGGGCGCAAGCCUGAUACAGCCAUGCCGCGUGUGUGAAGAAGGCCUUCGGGUUGUAAAGUACUUUCGGCGAGGAGGCGUUACUCGCAGAAGAAGCACCGGCUAACUACGUGCCAGCAGCCGCGGUAAUUC